rnacentral:rRNA from 1 species
UACGUAGGUGGCAAGCGUUGUCCGGAUUUAUUGGGCGUAAAGAGCGCGCAGGCGGUUCGUUAAGUCCGAGGUGAAAUCUCCCGGCUCAACUGGGAGGGGUCUUCGGAUACUGGCGGACUUGAGGAGUGCAGAGGUGAGUGGAACUCUCGGUGUAGUGGUGAAAUGCGUAGAUAUCGAGAGGAACACCAGCGGCGAAGGCGGCUCACUGGGCACCACCUGACGCUGAGGCGCGAAAGCGUGGGGAGCGAACAGG